GCCGCUUUAGCUCAGUCGGUAGAGCACGUCAUUCGUAAUGACGGGGUCACGUGUUCGAGUCACGUAAGCGGCACCA
rnacentral:tRNA from 14 species